AUUGAACGCUGGCGGCAGGCUUAACACAUGCAAGUCGAACGAGUGGCAGACGGGUGAGUAAUGCUUGGGAAUCUGGCUUAUGGAGGGGGAUAACGACGGGAAACUGUCGCUAAUACCGCGUACCAUAGUAUGAGCCCAAGUGGGUUUAGGUAGUUGGUGGGGUAAUGGCCUACCAAGCCGACGCUCUCUAGCGGGCCUGAGAGGAUGACCAGCAAAACGGGGACUGGGACACGGCCCGGACCCCUACGGGAGGCAGCAGUGGGGAAUAUUGCGCAAGGGGGGAAACCGGACGCAGCCAGGCCGCGUGAAUGAGGAAGGUCUUCGGGUUGUAAAGUCCUUUCGGUGAGGAGGCGUUAAUCAAAGAAGAAGCACCGGCUAACUCCGUGCCAGCAGCCGCGGUAAUAC
rnacentral:rRNA from 1 species